rnacentral:rRNA from 5 species
AUACGCAUCCUUUGCUGAGGAGACGGUUAACGGAGCGAAAGCGACGUUCAACCUCAAAAGAAGCAGAGGGGGCUUAGUGGUGGGGUGACUGCGUACCUUUUGUAUAAUGGGUCAGCGACUUAUAUUCUGUAGCAAGGUUAACUGUAUAGGGGAGCCGGAGGGAAACCGAGUCUUAACCGGGCGUUAAGUUGCAGGGUAUAGACCCGAAACCCGGUGAUCUAGCCAUGGGCAGGUUGAAGGUUGGGUAACACUAACUGGAGGACCGAACCGACUAAUGUUGAAAAAUUAGCGGAUGACCUGUGGCUGGGGGUGAAAGGCCAAUCAAACCGGGAGAUAGCUGGUUCUCCCCGAAAGCUAUUUAGGUAGCGCCUCGUGAAUUCAUCUCCGGGGGUAGAGCACUGUUUCGGCUAGGGGGCCAUCCCGGCUUACCAACCCGAUGCAAACUGCGAAUACCGGAGAAUGUUAUCACGGGAGACACACGGCGGGUGCUAAUGUCCGUCGUGAAGAGGGAAACAACCCAGACCGCCAGCUAAGGUCCCAAAGUCAUGGUUAAGUGGGAAACGAUGUGGGAAGGCCCAGACAGCCAGGAUGUUGGCUUAGAAGCAGCCAUCAUUUAAAGAAAGCGUAAUAGCUCACUGGUCGAGUCGGCCUGCGCGGAAGAUGUAACGGGGCUAAACCAUGCACCGAAGCUGCGGCAGCGACACCGUGUGUUGUUGGGUAGGGGAGCGUUCUGUAAGCCUGUGAAGGUGUGCUGUGAGGCAUGCUGGAGGUAUCAGAAGUGCGAAUGCUGACAUAAGUAACGAUAAAGCGGGUGAAAAGCCCGCUCGCCGGAAGACCAAGGGUUCCUGUCCAACGUUAAUCGGGGCAGGGUGAGUCGACCCCUAAGGCGAGGCCGAAAGGCGUAGUCGAUGGGAAACGGGUUAAUAUUCCCGUACUUGGUGUUACUGCGAAGGGGGGACGGAGAAGGCUAUGUUGGCCGGGCGACGGUUGUCCCGGUUUAAGCGUGUAGGUAUGUGUUCCAGGUAAAUCCGGUUCACUUUAACACUGAGGCGUGACGACGAGGCACUACGGUGCUGAAGCAACAAAUGCCCUGCUUCCAGGAAAAGCCUCUAAGCAUCAGGUAACAUCAAAUCGUACCCCAAACCGACACAGGUGGUCAGGUAGAGAAUACCAAGGCGCUUGAGAGAACUCGGGUGAAGGAACUAGGCAAAAUGGUGCCGUAACUUCGGGAGAAGGCACGCUGACACGUAGGUGAAGUGAUUUACUCACGGAGCUGAAGUCAGCCGAAGAUACCAGCUGGCUGCAACUGUUUAUUAAAAACACAGCACUGUGCAAACACGAAAGUGGACGUAUACGGUGUGACGCCUGCCCGGUGCCGGAAGGUUAAUUGAUGGGGUCAGCGCAAGCGAAGCUCCUGAUCGAAGCCCCGGUAAACGGCGGCCGUAACUAUAACGGUCCUAAGGUAGCGAAAUUCCUUGUCGGGUAAGUUCCGACCUGCACGAAUGGCGUAAUGAUGGCCAGGCUGUCUCCACCCGAGACUCAGUGAAAUUGAACUCGCUGUGAAGAUGCAGUGUACCCGCGGCAAGACGGAAAGACCCCGUGAACCUUUACUAUAGCUUGACACUGAACAUUGAGCCUUGAUGUGUAGGAUAGGUGGGAGGCUUUGAAGUGUGGACGCCAGUCUGCAUGGAGCCGACCUUGAAAUACCACCCUUUAAUGUUUGAUGUUCUAACGUGGACCCGUGAUCCGGGUUGCGGACAGUGUCUGGUGGGUAGUUUGACUGGGGCGGUCUCCUCC